GUGCCAGCAGCCGCGGUAAUACAGAGACCUCAAGCGUUAUCCGGAAUCAUUGGGCGUAAAGCGUACCGAUAGGUGUUUAUGCAAGUCAGAUGUGAAAUCUCCGAGCUCAACUCGGAAUCUGUCAUUUGAAACUGCACAACUAGAGGGGCAAAGAGGAAGCUAGAACGAACGGUGUAGUAGUGAAAUGCGUUGAUAUCGUUCGGAAUACCGAUAGCGAAGGCAGGCUUCUGGGUGCCAUCUGACACUGCUAGGACGAAAGCGUGGGGAGCAAACAGGAUUAGAAACCCCGGUAGUCC
rnacentral:rRNA from 1 species